UGGUAAAGAGAGGGCUCAAACCUCUGUCCUCGGAGCUACAAUCCGCCACCUGCUCGGCCACUUUACC
rnacentral:tRNA from 3 species